rnacentral:rRNA from 1 species
UACGGAGGGUGCAAGCGUUAUCCGGAUUCACUGGGUUUAAAGGGUGUGUAGGCGGGUAUUUAAGUCAGUGGUGAAAUCUCCGGGCUCAACCCGGAAACUGCCAUUGAUACUAUUUAUCUUGAAUUCUGUUGAGGUAGGCGGAAUACAUCAUGUAGCGGUGAAAUGCUUAGAGAUGAUGUAGAACACCGAUUGCGAAGGCAGCUUACUAAACAGAUAUUGACGCUGAGGCACGAAAGCGUGGGGAUCAAACAGG